UAUGAGGGCCAAUCUGAUUCUUUCAUGGCCCUAGUAGAUAAGGCAGCAACAGUACACUCGUCAUGUCGUCCUUGCUUUCACCUUGUUACUAUGAUUCAAGAGAAAGAAGAAACUAGCCCAGGGUUCAAGAGAUCCCCCUGCAGAUGCACAGGAGGCUUAGAGAUUGUAUAUAAUUUCCAUGUAAAAGAGAGAGGAGGGUUUGAGAUGGAAUCCAUUUUCUUGAGGUCUGGCAAAUUUAACGCUAAAUGCUUUAUACAAGAUCAUUGCAAAAAUUCUGUACAUAUACGGCUGAAGGAAGUCAUGAAGGAGGUCAGUGUGAUGUAUCUUUCAUUUCAGGAAGAGAGGUUCUAGAUAAUGUCCUUUGGGCUAAUGAGCAUGUUCACAGCAUGUAAAGGCAAUGGAUACAAAGCUUUGUCCUCAUAUUUAACUUUCAGCAUGAUAUUGAUUUUGUUUUGUAAUGAAACUGGUUUGAUUUUGUAUGUAUACUGUGUUUCAGGAAAUAUCAAUUGUGAAAGUUUUAAUUGUUUUUUUUUA